rnacentral:rRNA from 1 species
UACGUAGGUGGCAAGCGUUGUCCGGAGUUAUUGGGCGUAAAGCGCGCGCAGGCGGUGCUGUAAGUCUCUGGUGAAAGCGCUCGGCUUAACUGGGCGAGGGCCGGGGAGACUGCCACGCUGGAGGGGAGCAGAGGCGAGUGGAAUUCCGGGUGUAGUGGUGAAAUGCGUAGAGAUCCGGAGGAACACCAGUGGCGAAGGCGGCUCGCUGGGCUCUACCUGACGCUGAGGCGCGAAAGCGUGGGGAGCGAACCGG